CUGGCGGCGUGCCUAACACAUGGCAAGUCGGAGCGGGGACGAUGCGACGGAACCGGAGUUUACGGAUGGAAGGCGAAGAGUGUAUGUCGUAGCGGCGGACGGGUGAGUAACGCGUGAGCAACCUGUCCGUUCACAGGGGGAUAACACAGCGAAAGUUGUACUAAUACCGCAUAAGACCACACCGGGACAUCCCGGAGGGGUCAAAAGGAGCAAUCCGGUGAAGGGUGGGCUCGCGUCCGAUUAGAUAGUUGGUGAGGUAACGGCCCACCAAGUCGACGAUCGGUAGCCGACCUGAGAGGGUGAUCGGCCACAUUGGGACUGAGACACGGCCCAAACUCCUACGGGAGGCAGCAGUGGGGAAUGUUGGGCAAUGGGGGAAACCCUUGACCCAGCAACGCCGCGUGAGGGAAGAAGGUUUUCGGAUCGUAAACCUCUGUCCUUGGUGAAGAGAGAGAGACGGUAGCCAAGGAGGAAGCCCCGGCUAACUACGUGCCAGCCGCAGC
rnacentral:rRNA from 1 species